CCUACGGGAGGCAGCAGUGGGGAAUUUUGGACAAUGGGCGCAAGCCUGAUCCAGCCAUGCCGCGUGCGGGAAGAAGGCCUUCGGGUUGUAAACCGCUUUUGUCAGGGAAGAAACGCUUUGGGAUAAUACCCUGAGGUAAUGACGGUACCUGAAGAAUAAGCACCGGCUAACUACGUGCCAGCAGCCGCGGUAAUACGUAGGGUGCAAGCGUUAAUCGGAAUUACUGGGCGUAAAGCGUGCGCAGGCGGUUCUAUAAGACAGAUGUGAAAUCCCCGGGCUCAACCUGGGAACUGCAUUUGUGACUGUAGAGCUUGAGUGCGGCAGAGGGGGAUGGAAUUCCGCGUGUAGCAGUGAAAUGCGUAGAUAUGCGGAGGAACACCGAUGGCGAAGGCAAUCCCCUGGGCCUGCACUGACGCUCAUGCACGAAAGCGUGGGGAGCAAACAGGAUUAGAUACCCUGGUAGUCCACGCCCUAAACGAUGUCAACUGGUUGUUGGGAAGGUUCCUUCUCAGUAACGUAGCUAACGCGUGAAGUUGACCGCCUGGGGGAGGUACGGCCGCGAGGACGAACGUACGAAGGAAGUUAGUACGGCGUGAGACGUAGACCGACGGACGACGACGAGGGAGGAGG
rnacentral:rRNA from 1 species